CAGGAUGCUCAUCAGGUGGGGAUCCGAGUGCUCGUCACCCACCAUGGUGGGCCCAACCUCCUGUGGGACAGGCACGGAGCGCCAGCAAUCCCAUCAGUGCUCCCGGACGGUGAUCCCAGCCGCUGAUCCCAAACAGUGAUCCCAACCACUGCCCGGCUCCUGCCAGCCCCACUCCCUUGGCCGCGUUUUCCACGCUGGAAUGGCUGUUGGGGGCCGAGGGGAACCCAGCCGCCAGGACAAGUGGAGCCCUUUGGCGUCCGUGGGAUCCUGCCGCAAGUUUCCCCAGGGAGUCGGGAGGGUUUGGGGGCAGCAGAGCCGCGCUGUGGGCACCGGGAGCUCUCACGGAGUUGUGCCGGACACCCCACACCGGCCGCUGGGGCCGUGCUGGGGGUCCCCCAAACCUGCAUCACCCCAGCAGCAGCAGGGCCAGCCCAUCCCGGGAUCGCCGCGGGCCACCGGAGCCACCGCUGACGGGCGCACCGCGGGCUGAGCGGGUCCCACCGCUCGCCCCGGUCGGUCCCUGCCCGCCCCCCGGAAUUCCCCAGCCCCGGGGGUCCCGCCGGGACUCACCAGGCGGAUUUGGGUGCUAAUGAGCAGGUACGGCAUCUCCGCUCCGCCGCUCCCGCCGCUGCUCCCGGGGCACCGUGCCCGGGGCCGCCCCCGGUCCCGCCCCGCUGCCGCCGCCGCCCCCGGGCAGUGGCGGGGAAAAGGACUCCCAAAGGGGUCAGAGGGGCCCCGCCGGGGCUGGGGAGCGGGAGGCACCCGGGGGGCUCCGACGGAUCCCUCGGGAUCUCGGCUCUGCCGUCCCAACAAGGGAUGGGCGGACGGUGAAGGGCUGGAAGGUGAUGGAGCAGGAGGGGACAGGGGACAGAAGGUGAUGAGCAGGGAAAGGUUGGACCGGGAGCUGAUGGACCGGGAGAUGAUGGACGAGAAGGUGGUGGGCAAGGAGGUGAUGGACCAGGAGCUGAUGGACUGAGAGACAAAGGACAGGAGAUGAUGAGCAGGGAAAGGAUGGACCAGGAGAUGAGAGGCAGGGACGUGGAGGAUGGGGAGAUGGAGGAUGGGGAGAUGAUGAGCAGGGAGACAGAGGACAGGAGAUGAUGCUCAGGGAGGCAAUGAACAAGGAGAUGAUGGACAGGGAGAUGAUGGAUAGGGGAGAUGAAGCAACAGGAAAUUAAUAGCAGGGAGAUAAAGGAGCAGGAAAUGACAGCAGGGAGAUGAGGACUGGGAGAUGAUGGAGCAGGAGCCAGGCAGGUGGCGAGCCCUGGGCCCUGCAGAGCAUCCCUGCUCCCACCCCACAGCCCGACCAAACACUCCCCUGAAGCAGAAUGUUCAGCAUUACCGACGUUUUUUUGGGAAAAAAUCUGUUUUUCUGCUGGCUGUCGAGUUUUUAUCUGGUGACACAGGGGUUUAAAUCCCUUCCUAAUUUGAGGAGAAGCUCAUUUCCUGGGACUGGGACAGGCAGAGGUGCUGCAUAUCCAUUACUAUUAAUCUGUUAUUAACCCCUAUUAAUUGUUGUUGUUAUAUUUAUAAUUAUUAUUGUUGCUAAUUGUUAUUAUUGACAUUGUCAUUGACCCGUUGGUUGGGUUUGGUGAGGUGCAAGAAAAGCCAGAAGCUGA